CGACCCUUAGCUCAAUCGGGAGAGCGCCGAUUUUACACGUCGGAGGCAGUCGGAUCGAAACCGACAGGGUCUACCA
rnacentral:tRNA from 1 species